rnacentral:rRNA from 1 species
UGAGUGGCGGACGGGUGAGUAACGCGUGGGCAACCUGCCCUGUACAGGGGGACAACACUUAGAAAUAGGUGCUAAUACCGCAUAACGGGGGGAGCCGCAUGGCACCCCCCUGAAAACUCCGGUGGUACAGGAUGGGCCCGCGUCUGAUUAGCUGGUUGGCAGGGUAACGGCCUACCAAGGCGACGAUCAGUAGCCGGCCUGAGAGGGCGGACGGCCACACUGGGACUGAGACACGGCCAGACUCCUACGGAAGGCAGCAG